rnacentral:rRNA from 1 species
AUCGAACGCUGGCGGCGGGCCUAACACAUGCAAGUCGAACGAGUAGCGGACGGGUGAGUAAUUUCUUGGAAACUGCCCGAUGUACGGGGCUAAGUACUGUAAACGGUAGCUACUAGCGCAUACGAUCGGAUGUGCUCAGAUUGGAUUAGCUAGUAGGUGUGGUAACGGCUCACUUAGGCGACGAUCCCUAGCUGGGCCGAGAGGAUGACCGGCCACACUGGAACUGAGACACGGUCCAGACUCCUACGGGAGGCAGCAGUGGGGAAUAUGGCACAAUGGGCUCAAGCCGGAUGCAGCCAUGCCGCGUGUAUGAAGAAGGCCUUCGGGUUGUAAAGUACUUUCAGCGAGGAGGCGUUACUCGCAGAAGAAGCACCGGCUAACUCCGUGCCAGCAGCCGCGGUAAUUC